UGUGGAAAUUAGUUCUUUUUUACAGAACGAAUCUUUUACACUGUUCCAUUUACGGUGUUUUCUCCUCAGGUGCGCUCUGGAUCAGGUGCGCUCUGGAUCAGGUGUGCUCCGGAUCAGGUGCGCUCUGGAUCAGGUGCGCUCCGGAUCAGGUGUAUUUCCUGUAUCUCCUGUGGGAGGAGCUUCUUCUCGUCACAUGAAUCCGUUCAUUGAUCUGAUUCGCUGUGAAAC